GUGCAUUUCUACAUGCAUGCAUGUGUAUAUUUGGCUUGGCAUUGUAAUAUAAAAAAUGGUUGAUUGACUUCCUUGUCAUUAAGAAUGUUAAUAUGAACAUGUUUGUGCCUUUUGCAUAAAAAGGCAAGAAUCCUGAACUAGUGGUAUAAUAGCUGUAGAUUAAUUUAUGCUGUUGUUGGUACUAAGAUCAUCUUCACCUGUGGAUGGUACAGUGAACGUGUCCUGAAAAAACACAAAUUGGAAAUCUAUGUUGUAUGGAUUCUUCUAUUCUUAGUUUCCUGAUUUGGCUUUCCUCGACUAUAAUGUUACUGAAAAUCAAGUUGUGUAGCUUUGAAAAAUAUGAAUCUAUUAUUGGAAACUCCUCAAUUUAGUAUGUUGUUAAAUUAAAUGAAAAUUUGAAUGGCACUGUUGGAGACAAUUAGUAAGUAGUAAAGAAUUUCAUUGUUUUUUUUCAGAUGUUGAGGUACAAAUUUGUAGAAUUAUACCAAGAUGAGUACAAUUACAUUUUCGUUAAUGAAUUCAUAGGGGAUUGAUGUUUGUGCUCCUUAGAUUUUAAUAUAUUUUAAUAUUCUAGGUAGUUUUGAAAUAACAUUAUAUUACUCAUAGAUGUUUGUGCUUGCUUUAGAAAGUGAUGUUCUAUUUAGCUCUGUCAAUGCUUGCUGCAAUCGAAAGGCCACUUUAUGAAAUAUUAUAAGGGCUGUUCAUUUUUUUUCUCUAUUUAGAAAAACAAAAGAAUUCGAUGCAUAAUUCCAGAAUUGGUUAAACAGAUAAAAUACAUAAUAUCUCAAAUUUUUAAGUUGUAAAGUUAAAAGUCAAUGAGAGUGAAUGUAGAGACAAUAAAUGUAUACUUUUGCAAAUGUUAUCUAGUUAAUUCAACGUCUUAGUUUAGAUUUGUUUAUUCCAGUUGUUUUGGUCCCUGUGCUUGUCUUUUUGUCUUUAGUCUUUUCAAUUUUGUAUUUGUUAAAGUUGUUCUGCUUCAGAAAGUUUGUUUUUGAAUUUUGUAGAAUAUUUAACUGCAUUUCUUUGAUACCUAUAAAUGGAACAUAAUUUUGUUCCUUACUCUUUCUGAAGUUGCACUUCCUUCUUUCCAGCUUUGAAUCCUUGGUAUUGACUUUUGUUUUCUUCAUAUUUUUGAGGUUAAAAUACUUUGUCACCUUCACCAUGAUCAAUUGAGGGCAGUAUUUCAUGUAUCUCGGAGGAUCAGAAGAGCAGUUUUGCUUGCAAGGCAAUUUCAUUUUAAUUACACAACACCAGAUCGCUCUCGGCAGGAGAUGUUGAGAACAAUGACCCCACGGCCUACUGAACACUGGCCUUUCAUGGGCAAGAAGGAUGGGAAGGCUGUUUUCAUGCCAAGCCCACACACUCCAAAAGCACCAAGACAUGGUCUCCGGCCACCUUCUCGCAUCAAAGUCACUGAGAUGAAGCAAAUUGCUGCUGUUCUUUUCCAAGAUUCAGCAUUUCCUUCAAGAUGCAUGGUACCAUCUGCUUUGUCAAAGCCCCUAUGCAAAUCUUUGGCUUCUAACAGGGUUUUGUUCUACGAGGAUGAGUUGUGCCAAGCAGUUGCUCAGAAUAAGCUUCGUUGAUGUCUAUCCCAUCGCCUGUUUGUUUUUGUGUAUAGUUUGUUUCCUAUCUCUAUAGGUAGUCAUAGCUUGGAAAGGAAGUAUGCAAUUUUGUAGCUUUUACUGGGUUAGCCGGUAGUAUAAGAAGAUAAUAUGGGCUUUAGAUUUGCACUAGGAGUUAGAAGAUUUAGGUGUGGCUGUGGGAAUAAUAUAUUGAAACUGGUUACUUGUAUAUUUCUGUGUUUGAAAGAAUGGUUUUCCCCCUUUAAAAAAAAGAAAGGAACAAGCGUUUG
rnacentral:misc_RNA from 1 species